rnacentral:pre_miRNA from 1 species
CAACUCUCAUUCUACACCGUUGGAUCGAGAAAUAGACGUCCGAGAUUCGUCCACGUCACCCUGAGUUAAAAUUUAACUCGCAGAUUCACUCAUGAGUUAAAAUUUACUGAGAGUUAAAUUUUAACUCAUGGUGACGUGGACGAAUCUCGAACGUCCAUUUCUCGAUCUAACGGUGUAGGAUGAAAAUUA